rnacentral:lncRNA from 1 species
GCAUUGUGAUGAUAUGGUACCUCAAAGAUAUUCCCAUAAAUUAAAUAUGACUCAUUAUUCUUAAGCUAUGAUUAUGCAUAUGCGUCACCUCUAAAAAAUCAUUCUCCCAUAUAGUAUAAUAAUUUCUCACCCUUUCUUAUUCUAUCUAAUCUAUCUAAGUUUAAGUUACAAAACUUAUCAUCCUUUCUUAAUAUAUUUGUAGUUAUUAUUUAUCCUCCAUUAAAAAAG